GAUGAACGCUGGCGGCGUGCUUAACACAUGCAAGUCGAACGGAAAGGCCCAAGCUUGCUUGGGUACUCGAGUGGCGAACGGGUGAGUAACACGUGGGUGAUCUGCCCUGCACUUCGGGAUAAGCCUGGGAAACUGGGUCUAAUACCGGAUAGGACCACUUCGUAGUUGUUGUGGUGGAAAGUUUUUUCGGUGUGGGAUGAGCUCGCGGCCUAUCAGCUUGUUGGUGGGGUAAUGGCCUACCAAGGCGUCGACGGGUAGCCGGCCUGAGAGGGUGUACGGCAACAGUGGGACGGAGCGACGGCGACGACUACGGGGGGCAGCAGUAGUGGGGAAUAUUGAACAGUGGGAAGAAGCAUGAUGCAGCGACGCGGCGUGGAGGAUGACGGCCUUGGUGUUGUAAACUCCUUUCGGUAAAGACGAAUUUAGGAUGGUAUUUGGAGAAGAAGCACCGGCUAACUACGUG
rnacentral:rRNA from 1 species